GGACGAACGCUGGCGGCGUGCUUAACACAUGCAAGUCGAACGGUGAAGGGAAGCUUGCUUCCCGGAUCAGUGGCGAACGGGUGAGUAACACGUGGGCAAUCUGCCCCAGACUUUGGGAUAACUACUCGAAAGAGUAGCUAAUACCGAAUAUUCAGCCUUGCAGGCAUCUGCGAGGCUGGAAAGUUUCUCGGUCUGGGAUGAGCCCGCGGCCUAUCAGCUAGUUGGUGAGGUAAUGGCUCACCAAGGCGACGACGGGUAGCCGGCCUGAGAGGGCGACCGGCCACACUGGGACUGAGACACGGCCCAGACUCCUACGGGAGGCAGCAGUGGGGAAUAUUGCGCAAUGGGCGAAAGCCUGACGCAGCAACGCCGCGUGCGGGAUGAAGGCCCUCGGGUUGUAAACCGCUUUCAGCAGGGAAGAAGCGAAAGUGACGGUACCUGCAGAAGAAGCACCGGCUAACUACGUG
rnacentral:rRNA from 1 species